GCGCCCGUAGCUCAAUUGGAUAGAGUACUCGGCUACGAACCGAGCGGUUGGGGGUUCGACUCCUCCCGGGCGCG
rnacentral:tRNA from 1 species